rnacentral:rRNA from 1 species
AGGUAAGCUACUAAGAGCGAAUGGUGGAUGCCUUGACUGGUAAAGGCGAUGAAGGACGUACUAGACUGCGAUAAGCUACGGGGAGCUGUCAAGAAGCUUUGAUCCGUAGAUUUCCGAAUGGGGCAACCCAAUGUAUAGAGAUAUACAUUACCUAUAUAGGAGCGAACGAGGGGAAUUGAAACAUCUUAGUACCCUCAGGAAAAGAAAUCAAUAGAGAUUGCGUCAGUAGCGGCGAGCGAAAGCGCAAGAGGGCAAACCCAGUGCUUGCACUGGGGGUUGUAGGACUGCAAUGUGCAAGAGGUAAGUUUAGCAGAACAUUCUGGAAAGUAUAACCAUAGAGGGUGAUAGUCCCGUAUGCGAAAAACAAACCUUAGCUAGCAGUAUCCUGAGUAGGGCGGGACACGAGGAAUCCUGUCUGAAUCCGGGUCGACCACGAUCCAACCCUAAAUACUAAUACCAGAUCGAUAGUGCACAAGUACCGUGAGGGAAAGGUGAAAAGAACUGAGGUGAUCAGAGUGAAACAGAACCUGAAACCAUUUGCUUACAAUCAUUCAGAGCCCUAUGUAGCAAUACAGGGUGAUGGACUGCCUUUUGCAUAAUGAGCCUGCGAGUUGUGGUGUCUGGCAAGGUUAAGCAAACGCGAAGCCGUAGCGAAAGCGAGUCUGAAUAGGGCGCUUAGUCAGAUGCUGCAGACCCGAAACGAAGUGAUCUAUCCAUGAGCAAGUUGAAGCUAGUGUAAGAACUAGUGGAGGACUGAACCCAUAGGCGUUGAAAAGCCCCGGGAUGACUUGUGGAUAGGGGUGAAAGGCCAAUCAAACUUCGUGAUAGCUGGUUCUCUCCGAAAUAUAUUUAGGUAUAGCGUUGUGUCGUAAUAUAAGGGGGUAGAGCACUGAAUGGGCUAGGGCAUACACCAAUGUACCAAACCCUAUCAAACUCCGAAUACCUUAUAUGUAAUCACAGCAGUCAGGCGGCGAGUGAUAAAAUCCGUCGUCAAGAGGGAAACAACCCAGACUACCAGCUAAGGUCCCUAAAUCUUACUUAAGUGGAAAACGAUGUGAAGUUACUUAAACAACCAGGAGGUUGGCUUAGAAGCAGCCAUCCUUUAAAGAAAGCGUAAUAGCUCACUGGUCUAGUGAUUUUGCGCGGAAAAUAUAACGGGGCUAAAGUAAGUACCGAAGCUGUAGACUUAGUUUACUAAGUGGUAGGAGAGCGUUCUAUUUGCGUCGAAGGUAUACCGGUAAGGAGUGCUGGAGCGAAUAGAAGUGAGCAUGCAGGCAUGAGUAGCGAUAAUUAAUGUGAGAAUCAUUAACGCCGUAAACCCAAGGUUUCCUACGCGAUGCUCGUCAUCGUAGGGUUAGUCGGGUCCUAAGUCGAGUCCGAAAGGGGUAGACGAUGGCAAAUUGGUUAAUAUUCCAAUACCAACAUUAGUGUGCGAUGGAAGGACGCUUAGGGCUAAGGGGGCUAGCGGAUGGAAGUGCU